GAUCUACUCCCUCCGUCCCAUACUAAGUGACUCAAAUUUGUCCAAAUAUGAAUGUAUGUGUACCUAAAAAGCAUCAAUAUACAUGUAAUAGAAAGUCGCUUAAUAUGGGACGGAGGGAGUACAAU
rfam:Brachypodium distachyon strain Bd21 chromosome 3, whole genome shotgun sequence.